AGAGUUUGAUCCUGGCUCAGGAUGAACGCUGGCGGCGUGCUUAACACAUGCAAGUCGAACGAUGAUCCCAGCUUGCUGGGGGAUUAGUGGCGAACGGGUGAGUAACACGUGAGUAACCUGCCCUUAACUCUGGGAUAAGCCUGGGAAACUGGGUCUAAUACCGGAUAUGACUCCUCAUCGCAUGGUGGGGGGUGGAAAGCUUUAUUGUGGUUUUGGAUGGACUCGCGGCCUAUCAGCUUGUUGGUGAGGUAAUGGCCCACCAAGGCGACGACGGGUAGCCGGCCUGAGAGGGUGACCGGCCACACUGGGACUGAGACACGGCCCAGACUCCUACGGGAGGCAGCAGUGGGGAAUAUUGCACAAUGGGCGAAAGCCUGAUGCAGCGACGCCGCGUGAGGGAUGACGGCCUUCGGGUUGUAAACCUCUUUCAGUAGGGAAGAAGCGAAAGUGACGGUACCUGCAGAAGAAGCGCCGGCUAACUACGUGCCAGCAGCCGCGGUAAUACGUAGGGCGCAAGCGUUAUCCGGAAUUAUUGGGCGUAAAGAGCUCGUAGGCGGUUUGUCGCGUCUGCCGUGAAAGUCCGGGGCUCAACUCCGGAUCUGCGGUGGGUACGGGCAGACUAGAGUGAUGUAGGGGAGACUGGAAUUCCUGGUGUAGCGGUGAAAUGCGCAGAUAUCAGGAGGAACACCGAUGGCGAAGGCAGGUCUCUGGGCAUUAACUGACGCUGAGGAGCGAAAGCAUGGGGAGCGAACAGGAUUAGAUACCCCCGUAGUCC
rnacentral:rRNA from 1 species